rnacentral:snRNA from 1 species
UCAUCUACCUGGCAGGUGGUUCACCCAGAGCCAGAAUCAGCCAUUGCACCGAGGCUGUGCUGACCCCUGCCAUUUCCCCAAAUGUGGAAUCACGACUGCAUAAUUUCUGCUGGUGGGGGACUGUGCUAGCAAACUCCCCUA